GUUUCGCACUCAACAGUACUUGAAUAAGCAUAAUUGCUAGAAAAUUUAACCUCCGCGGCUUUGUUUGAUUAGUUAAUACUGAUUAGCCUCUUUACAUGCACUCACCUGCGCAGCAUAGUUUCGCACUCAACAGUACUUGAAUAAGCAUAAUUGCUAGGUUGAGUCUUUUGAAAAAGGUGACGUGUUAUGAACCAUGAUUAAGAUAGAGUUGACAUGAGACAGUAAUGGAUGAACGGUGGUUAUUAAAACCAAUGAACCAUGAUUAUUGGAACUACCUUUUAUUCUUCAAGCUGCCAUUAUAGGGUCCUGCCACUGUCUGAAUCAUCAGCGAUUGUGCCUCUAUUAUAAAAGUUGCCAUCACCAUACUAAUUUCUGCCUCUUUCUCUUCAAUUUUGUGGAUUUUAAGUUGUGUGGCUAUCAUUGCAGUUGUAAUUCUAUUCUACUUUUGCCGUUGUUUUCAUGCAAUAGAAGGGAGUGGAUUUAGCUCUUUCCAAUCUUCGAUCUUUCGAUAAAAGGUCUUACUAUAGUUUCUUCUUAACUCCAGUGAUAUGGCUAUUGCAUGUUUAGAGCUCUAGCAUGCUUGCAUAAACAGGGUUUGGUGCACAUAGAUAUUAAGCCCGGAAACUUCCUCUUCUCUCAGAAGCUAAGCAAAGGUUACCUGAUUGAUUUCAACCUUGCCAUGUUUGGAGGCCUUUUAACUACUGUUAUACUCGCAUUCUCGGGGACGUUUUAAAUUGCAAGACCAGGUAUAGGUAGUCUACUGGUCUUCGCUAAAUUGCAAGACCAGGUAGCAAGGUGAAAAGCUUACCUGCUGUGCGAUGUCGUUUCCGCGUUGUUCCCCAUGAGCGUGGUGAGUGUUCUUGGAACUUCUGGACUGUACAUGUCAGGAUCAUAUGUUGAGCAAAAGACCUUAGCCACAGAGUUUCAGAUGAUUCUACUAAAACAGGGAAGGGUAGGAGACUUGAAGAAGAAGGGGGGGGGGGGGGGAUUUGAAACAUUUUUACUGAAACCCUUGGUGAUUUAAUUACAAUGUUGAUAAAGUAUAUUUUGUAACUUCCAGUGAUGCCAUUGAUGUUAUUAUAGUCUGAAUUUAACUUCAAAACCAUAUGUUUCUCCUUAUGAAACAACUUGAUAGUAAAUGGUCAAAUUUAUGGCUUCGAAUCCGAUACACUGAAAGCAUGAGACUGUUUUCUAUUCGGUUACUUAAUUUUCAGAUUUGUUUCCUCUGCUUAGGUAAAUUCAUAGUUUAACAUAUAGCAUUGUUUGGUUUCUUGGUAAAUAAGAAAGAAUGCAGAAAAUAGCAUGCAAUGUCUUUUGUCACUGAGUUUCCUACCUUGAAUGCUCUAUUUUUUGUUUUAUAUUACUGAUCAACAGCAGUCUAAUGUCAGUGAUGACGGAAUAGCUUAACACAUUAAAGAAGUAAAUAUUCAAAAUCACACAGCUAAGAAGGAUAUCUUCUUAUCCUAUUUCUAAUGUUGUAUGGCUUUUAUAUU